rnacentral:lncRNA from 1 species
AUUGUUUGGAGGGGACAGGGAGAGAAAAAAUGACAUUGAAAGUUUUUUCUUUAUUACUUCCAGAGGAAAAGAAAGUAAAAAGCACAAAAGUGGAAGCAAAAGUUAAAAAGGAAGUGAAAGAUGGAAAAGGUGAAGCAAAGACGGCCGAGAAGCUCAAGCAGGCAGAGAAUAAAACAACAGAAGUUGGGCUAAUAAAGGCCAAACCAAAAGUUAAGGAGGAGAAAGCUCUUCAAACUGUAACUAAAUCGGAAAAGAAAGAUCAAUAUGCAUUCUGUCGCUAUGUGAUUGACAUGUUUGCGCAAGGGGAUUUUUAUCCAGGACAUAAAGAAAUGGUAUCACCUCAUCUUCUUCUAGAACAUAGUCCGAGGAAGAAGCCAGCAACUACUGAAGGCAAGUUUAAGUCUUCUCCUCAUUUAUUGGCUUCUAGUCAUGAGCUUGACUCUCUGGUCUCUUUGGUUUUGCUUAUACAUAUA